UUUGUUUCCUCUUCUCCCUCACGCAAAGAAAAACCCUAAACACCCAAAAAAACAUUGUUCUUCUCUCAUGCACCUCCGUGCUCCGCUGCCCCUCUCAAAUUUAACACAUUCGACGACAUUCAUACAAAUCCCUAAAUUUCGUUGCUCCGUUCUACAUUUUUUCGGUGAAAUUUACGCGACGGCUUUCCUUGCUUGUAAAUUCCGCUGAAAUUAGAAGACACGGUUAUGGCUGUUGAUUUUGGUACUGUAAUCGUGUUCCAUUGCACCUAAAAUUUCAGAAGAAGAUCAACAAAAAAAAAAAGCCGAAAAUGAAGGGAUAUGAAUUAGGGGAUAUCUACACAGAGCCGAAAAUGAAGAUGGUAAACUCCUUCAACCUCAAGACAGCUGCAGCAGGGAUUAAACGCAUCAAUCUCGAUGGUCUCUAGUGGCAAGUUUUCGAUGCCAAGGGCCAGAUACAGACGAGAAUACUAUAAAAGAACUUCCAAUUUCUCUCUAAUAAUUUAUAAUGAUUGGACCAGUAUUGGUGGAGUAUUUUGACACCAUUUAGAGUUGCAAGAAUCUCUCUAGUUAUACAUUCAUGAAGCCAUACGUACUUUUAGGGAGGCAAGAAGUUUAUGCUGGCACCAUAGAAAAUAUGCACCUACACCAGAAAUAUGGGAGAUAGAGAAGAUACUUGUAGAAGGAAAUAUUUAUCCCAAGUUAAACCCAUUGUGAUAUAUUUGGAAGUUGAGAGUGAUGAGAUGUUGGUAUCUGUAAACAAAGAUACCAAAGGCCAUAUAAUUAUUUAUUUGUUGACAUUAAUGGUCAUAUUUAUGUAAAUACUUAAUUCAGUUAAAAAUCAUAGAACAAGGUCCUUUUUUACUAUUAUAUUAGUUUUGU